AUUGAUUUUAUGCUUGCAUAAAUGAUUUUUGGAUUCGGAGCGAGUGGCGAACUGGUGAGUAACACGUGGGUAACCUGCCCCGAAGCGGGGGAUAACAUUUGGAAACAAGUGCUAAUACCGCGUAAUUAGUUGGAACCGCAUGGUUCCAACUUGAAAGAUGGCUCUGCUAUCACUUUGGGAUGGACCCGCGCCGUAUUAGUUAGUUGGUGAGAUAAAGGCCCACCAAGACGAUGAUACGUAGCCGACCUGAGAGGGUAAUCGGCCACAUUGGGACUGAGACACGGCCCAGACUCCUACGGGAGGCAGCAGUAGGGAAUCUUCCACAAUGGACGAAAGUCUGAUGGAGCAACGCCGCGUGAGUGAUGAAGGUUUUCGGAUCGUAAAACUCUGUUGUUAAAGAAGAACAAGUGUUAGAGUAACUGUUAACACUUUGACGGUAUUUAACCAGAAAGCCACGGCUAACUACGUGCCAGCAGCCGCGGUAAUACGUAGGUGGCAAGCGUUGUCCGGAUUUAUUGGGCGUAAAGCGAGCGCAGGCGGUUUUGUAAGUCUGCUGUGAAAGCCCUCAGCUCAACUGAGGAAGUGCAGUGGAAACUACAAAACUUGAGUACAGAAGAGGAAAGUGGAACUCCAUGUGUAGCGGUGAAAUGCGUAGAUAUAUGGAAGAACACCAGUGGCGAAGGCGGCUUUCUGGUCUGUUACUGACGCUGAGGCUCGAAAGCAUGGGUAGCGAACAGGAUUAGAUACCCUGGUAGUCCAUGCCGUAAACGAUGAAUACUAGGUGUUGGAGGGUUUCCGCCCUUCAGUGCCGCAGCUAACGCAUUAAGUAUUCCGCCUGGGGAGUACGACCGCAAGGUUGAAACUCAAAGGAAUUGACGGGGGCCCGCACAAGUGGUGGAGCAUGUGGUUUAAUUCGAUGCUACGCGAAGAACCUUACCAGCUCUUGACAUCUUCUGCCAACCCAAGAGAUUGGGCGUUCCCUUCGGGGACAGAAUGACAGGUGGUGCAUGGUUGUCGUCAGCUCGUGUCGUGAGAUGUUGGGUUAAGUCCCGCAACGAGCGCAACCCUUAUUAUUAGUUGCCAGCAUUUAGUUGGGCACUCUAGUGAGACUGCCGGUGAUAAA
rnacentral:rRNA from 1 species